ACGAACGCUGGCGGCGUGCUUAACCCAUGCAAGUCGCACGCUGAAGACCUGGCUUUUGUUGGGUUGGAUGAGUGGCGAACGGGUGAGUAACACGUGAGUAACCUGCCCUCUUCUUUGGGAUAACGCCCGGAAACGGGUGCUAAUACUGGAUAUUCACUGGCCUUCGCAUGGGGGUUGGUGGAAAGGUUUGUUCUGGUGGGGGAUGGGCUCGCGGCCUAUCAGCUUGUUGGUGGGGUGAUGGCCUACCAAGGCUUUGACGGGUAGCCGGCCUGAGAGGGUGACCGGUCACAUUGGGACUGAGAUACGGCCCAGACUCCUACGGGAGGCAGCAGUGGGGAAUAUUGCACAAUGGGCGAAAGCCUGAUGCAGCGACGCCGCGUGAGGGAUGGAGGCCUUCGGGUUGUAAACCUCUUUCGCUCAUGGUCAAGCCGCAACUGUGGGUUGUGGUGAGGGUAGUGGGUAAAGAAGCGCCGGCUAACUACGUG
rnacentral:rRNA from 1 species